AAUGUGCUUUACUCAAAACAAAAAUAUUCGCCAUUUGUCGAGGAUCCACAGACCACAGGUAGUCAUCAUGCAGAUCCCCUAUUUGUUGAAUUAUCGUAGCAUGCAUACUAUUUCAGUAAUUUGAAAAGAAAAGAAUCAUUUUGAGUGGUUUUGACAAUAGGUCAAUCUGGUAAACUUAUGGAUGCAAGAAGAAUUGAUGACCCGGUGUUGGGUAGAGAUAGCUGCAUCAGAUGUCCAGACCAUUCCAUUGCCUGUGGUCAAAACUGUGCUCUUUGGUGGAUUUGGCUUAUCAUAUAACCACAAAACUAAAAUUGAUGAGAUGAGGAAGCAGAAUAAAGUCGUGGUGGUGUUUUCCUAUUAAGAGCACCUUUGCUCGCAAGAUAGAAUCACUUGGUGCUUAGGCCACCAACGACGGCAGUCUAUCCCAAAUUAUUUGCAUUGCUCAAUUCCCCAGAGGGUUGCCACCUAAUUCACUUUGGUCACGUGGACAUUGCGUGAUCUUAUCCAGAGCUCUACCAUUGCGAUGUGAUAGCAACAGGAACUUUCAGGCUUGCCAAGGAAACAGAAAAGAACCAAAAUAGCGCUCAUGAUGUACACUGCCUGGAACAUCUCGUCGGAGAGGAACCAGCACAUUUUCGAGUUCACUCAGACGGAUACGGUUCAGGUGGCCCAAGAGUUCAUAUCUACUUCAACAAAGAUGCAACAUUCUAAACAACCUAGGAAAAUGUGAGAGUUCUAAGGAAGUGGUUGGUCAUAGAUCUACUGAAGUGGUUAUGGAACGAGGUCCAAGUUAACAUUCCUGAAGAUAUAGCUGGAGCUCUAAAGAACAUAUGUAACACCUGAGUGGAGAAAUAUAUCUAUUUAAAUUAAUGCCAUACCAUGGCUGAUCUGAGCAAGAAAUAUGGAUGGAUCUUGCUACAUUUUUUAAGUCUUGUAUGCUGGUGUUGGCCAUAUUUUAAAUUCCCAUAUCAGUCAAUAAUCAACAUUAAUGGAUUGAGACAAGUUCUUAUGCUACAUUAUUAUUGUUAUUAAUUAUUAAUUUUA